CAUGCAAGUCGAACGGUAACAGGGUGCUUGCACCGCUGACGAGUGGCGAACGGGUGAGUAAUGCAUCGGAACGUACCCAGUCGUGGGGGAUAACGUAGCGAAAGUUACGCUAAUACCGCAUACGUCCUGAGGGAGAAAGCGGGGGACCGUAAGGCCUCGCGCGAUUGGAGCGGCCGAUGUCGGAUUAGCUAGUUGGUAGGGUAAAGGCCUACCAAGGCGACGAUCCGUAGCGGGUCUGAGAGGAUGAUCCGCCACACUGGGACUGAGACACGGCCCAGACUCCUACGGGAGGCAGCAGUGGGGAAUUUUGGACAAUGGGCGAAAGCCUGAUCCAGCCAUGCCGCGUGAGUGAAGAAGGCCUUCGGGUUGUAAAGCUCUUUCAGAUGGAAAGAAAACGUACAGGUUAAUACCUUGUGCGGAUGACGGUACCAUCAGAAGAAGCACCGGCUAACUACGUGCCAGCAGCCGCGGUAAUACGUAGGGUGCGAGCGUUAAUCGGAAUUACUGGGCGUAAAGCGUGCGCAGGCGGUUAUGUAAGACAGAUGUGAAAUCCCCGGGCUCAACCUGGGAACUGCGUUUGUGACUGCAUAACUAGAGUACGGCAGAGGGAGGUGGAAUUCCGCGUGUAGCAGUGAAAUGCGUAGAGAUGCGGAGGAACACCGAUGGCGAAGGCAGCCUCCUGGGCCAGUACUGACGCUCA
rnacentral:rRNA from 1 species